rnacentral:rRNA from 1 species
AAAACUUUUAACAACGGAUCUCUUGGUUCUGGCAUCGAUGAAGAACGCAGCGAAAUGCGAUAAGUAAUGUGAAUUGCAGAAUUCAGUGAAUCAUCGAAUCUUUGAACGCACAUUGCGCCCGCCAGCAUUCUGGCGGGCAUGCCUGUUCGAGCGUCAUUUCAACCCUCAAGCACCGCUUGGCGUUGGGGCUUCCACGGCUGACGUGGGCCCUCAAAGACAGUGGCGGACCCUCGCGGAGCCUCCUUUGCGUAGUAACAUACCACCUCGCACCGGGACCCGCAGGGCACUCCUGCCGUAAACCCCCCCAAUUUUAACAAGGUUGACCUCGGAUCAGGUAGGAAUACCCGCUGAACUUAAGCAUAUCAAUAAGCGGAGGAAAAGAAACCAACAGGGAUUGCCCCAGUAACGGCGAGUGAAGCGGCAACAGCUCAAAUUUGAAAUCUGGCCCCCAGGGCCCGAGUUGUAAUUUGCAGAGGAUGCUUUGGGCGCGGUGCCUUCCGAGUUCCCUGGAACGGGACGCCAUAGAGGGUGAGAGCCCCGUACGGUUGGACACCAAGCCUGUGUAAAGCUCCUUCGACGAGUCGAGUAGUUUGGGAAUGCUGCUCAAAAUGGGAGGUAUAUUUCUUCUAAAGCUAAAUAUUGGCCAGAGACCGAUAGCGCACAAGUAGAGUGAUCGAAAGAUGAAAAGCACUUUGAAAAGAGGGUUAAACAGCACGUGAAAUUGUUAAAAGGGAAGCGCUUGUGACCAGACUUGCGCCCGGCGGGUCACCCGGCUCUCGCGGCCGGGGCACUCCGCCGGCUCAGGCCAGCAUCAGCUCGCUGUCGGGGACAAAAGCUUCGGGAACGUGGCUCCCUCCGGGGAGUGUUAUAGCCCGUUGCACAAUACCCUUCGGUGGGCUGAGGUACGCGCUCCGCAAGGAUGCUGGCGUAAUGGUCAUCAGCGACCCGUCUUGAAACACGGACCAAGGAGUCAACCUUAUAUGCGAGUGUUCGGGUGUCAAACCCCUACGCGUAAUGAAAGUGAACGCAGGUGAGAGCUUCGGCGCAUCAUCGACCGAUCCUGAUGUUCUCGGAUGGAUUUGAGUAAGAGCAUAUAGGGUUGGACCCGAAAGAAGGUGAACUAUGCGUGUAUAGGGUGAAGCCAGAGGAAACUCUGGUGGAGGCUCGCAGCGGUUCUGACGUGCAAAUCGAUCGUCAAAUAUGCGCAUGGGGGCGAAAGACUAAUCGAACCUUCUAGUAGCUGGUUUCCGCCGAAGUUUCCCUCAGGAUAGCAGUGUUGAACUCAGUUUUAUGAGGUAAAGCGAAUGAUUAGGGACUCGGGGGCGCUAUAUUGCCUUCAUCCAUUCUCAAACUUUAAAUAUGUAAGAAGCCCUUGUUACUUAGCUGAACGUGGGCAUUCGAAUGUAUCAACACUAGUGGGCCAUUUUUGGUAAGCAGAACUGGCGAUGCGGGAUGAACCGAACGCGAGGUUAAGGUGCCAGAGUAGACGCUCAUCAGACACCACAAAAGGUGUUAGUACAUCUUGACAGCAGGACGGUGGCCAUGGAAGUCGGAAUCCGCUAAGGACUGUGUAACAACUCACCUGCCGAAUGUACUAGCCCUGAAAAUGGAUGGCGCUCAAGCGUCUCACCCAUACCUCGCCCUCAGCGUAGAAACGAUGCGCUGAGGAGUAGGCGGACGUGGAGGUCAGUGACGAAGCCUAGGGCGUGAGCCCGGGUAGAACGGCCUCUAGUGCAGAUCUUGGUGGUAGUAGCAAAUACUUCAAUGAGAACUUGAAGGACCGAAGUGGGGAAAGGUUCCAUGUGAACAGCAGUUGGACAUGGGUUAGUCGAUCCUAAGCCAUAGGGAAGUUCCGUUUCAAAGGGGCACUUGUGCCCCGUAUGGCGAAAGGGAAGCCGGUCAAUAUUCCGGCACCUGGAUGUGGGUUUUGCGCGGCAACGCAACUGAACGCGGAGACGACGGCGGGGGCCCCGGGCAGAGUUCUCUUUUCUUCUUAACGGUCUAUCACCCUGAAAUCGGUUUGUCCGGAGCUAGGGUUUAACGGCCGGAAGAGCCCAGCACUUCUGUUGGGUCCGGUGCGCUCUCGACGUCCCUUGAAAAUCCGCGGGAAGGAAUAAUUCUCACGCCAGGUCGUACUCAUAACCGCAGCAGGUCUCCAAGGUGAACAGCCUCUGGUUGAUAGAACAAUGUAGAUAAGGGAAGUCGGCAAAACAGAUCCGUAACUUCGGGAUAAGGAUUGGCUCUAAGGGUUGGGUACGUUGGGCUUUAGGCGGACGGCCCGGGAGCAGGUCGCCACUAGCCGGGCAACCGGCCGGAGGCUUCCAGCAUCUGGGUCCUGACGCCUUUAGCAGGCUUCGGCCGUCCGGCGUACGGUUAACAACCAACUUAGAACUGGUACGGACAAGGGGAAUCUGACUGUCUAAUUAAAACAUAGCAUUGCGAUGGCCAGAAAGUGGUGUUGACGCAAUGUGAUUUCUGCCCAGUGCUCUGAAUGUCAAAGUGAAGUAAUUCAACCAAGCGCGGGUAAACGGCGGGAGUAACUAUGACUCAACCGAGAGGGUCGUCAGAGCGGCGCUGAAAAGGCGACCGCUAGUGGGGCCUCGCGCCCUGCGACACUGUCAAAUUGCGGGGACUUCCUAGAGCCUUCUGCUACCGCGGCCAGCCGGAAACGGCCGGUGCAGCACCCGGGUUAGCGGCCCGGGGGAUGGUAACAACGCAGCUGGUACGGGAUGACCGCGCAGCCAAGCCCUACGUCCCCCCCCCGGGGGGGAUAGGGGUGCAGUUCAACGACUAAACGGCAGUGGGUCCGGGGGGUACUGCGGUACGCACCCGGGCUUAAGAUAUAGUCUACGGCGGGCCGAAAGGCCAGCGCCUGCGCAUGAGCUCUUAAGGUAGCCAAAUGCCUCGUCAUCUAAUUAGUGACGCGCAUGAAUGGAUCAACGAGAUUCCCACUGUCCCUAUCUACUAUCUAGCGAAACCACAGCCAAGGGAACGGGCUUGGCAGAAUCAGCGGGGAAAGAAGACCCUAAACAGUUCAAUGGGGUCCACAAUGCGCCGGAGGCUCGAGCCCCCGGCGCGUUAGUCCAGCAGCCGUACGUCGCGGGUGGCUGCGGGCGAGACAACCUGGUACGGGGAAGCCUACGGGGCGCAGAGAUGCGCCUA